AAAGGGGAAUAGGAUUCCCUCAAGUUUCUCCGACUUGUUGACUAGUCAAGUCUCGAAGAAACUUGCGGAAGAAAAGGUGGAGGUUUCUAUGAUUUUGAAAAUUUGGCCUCCGAAAUCAACCCUCCUUUUCCUUCAACCAUCUAUAGGCGGCGGCGAUAUGACAUACACGGCCUGUACGUCCCAAACACAAAAAAAGGUUAUGCUCUUUACGUUAAGCUCUCGGGUUUGGAGACAUCCUGGAGGAGUGAUGAAGACUUUACGGAUAUUGUAGCACAUCGGCCUUAUCGUGAGGUUUCCAUCUCUAAGAUUAAUUAAGGAGUCUCUCACUCUACUUGAAUACUAUCAUGACGCCGCCUGGAAAAAAGUUUACGGUGUAUGGAUCAUGGAAGGUGUUUCAAAAUCGUUUACAAAGCUAUUCACCAUCAACAUACCAGAUACAUCGUUGUACACUCAGGUUCUAGGAUUUAGGAAGAAUGGCCAACCUAUUAUGGAAACAUCGAGACUCUUGGGAUAAAUGGUGAACCUUGUUCGUUCUCUUUAAGCUCAUACACGGAAACUUUACUUUUGCUGGAUCAGUUGGAUGGGCAAUUUGUAAAGUGCCAAUUGCAGUUAUAGCCUUUACGUCGUCAUGUAUCAGCUCAUGAGCUCAAGUCAUUAGAAAGAUUCAAACGACCAUGGAGUAUGCAAGGUUAGUUCUGUUACCGGAAUCAGUUUCUGUAGAGGGGAUAUCGAACACAAAAGAACUAUUGGUGGCAGAGAAAAACAAAGGAUGAAAAGGAGCAUAAGAGUUUUCACUGUUUAUGAUUGAAGCAUAAUGAAUGCUGUUUAUGUUAUAUCGGAACAGAAUGUUAUUGUUACUUUGGCGCGUUCCUAUCAUUAUCAUAUGUCAGUCAAUUUAAAUUGUGGAACUAGGUUAAAAAUAAAUUCUAGUUGUGAAUUUGAUCA